AGCGAACGCUGGCGGCAGGCUUAACACAUGCAAGUCGAGCGGGCCUUUCGGGGUCAGCGGCGGACGGGUGAGUAACGCGUGGGAACGUGCCUUCUGGUUCGGAAUAACCCUGGGAAACUAGGGCUAAUACCGGAUACGCCCUUAUGGGGAAAGGUUUACUGCCGGAAGAUCGGCCCGCGUCUGAUUAGCUAGUUGGUGGGGUAAUGGCCUACCAAGGCGACGAUCAGUAGCUGGUCUGAGAGGAUGAUCAGGCACACUGGGACUGAGACACGGCCCCGACUCCUACGGGAGGCAGCAGUGGGGAAUAUUGGACAAUGGGCGCAAGCCUGAUCCAGCCAUGCCGCGUGAGUGAUGAAGGCCUUAGGGUUGUAAAGCUCUUUUAUCCGGGACGAUAAUGACGGUACCGGAGGAAUAAGCCCCGGCUAACUUCGUGCCAGCCGCCGCCGUAAGAC
rnacentral:rRNA from 1 species